rnacentral:rRNA from 1 species
UACGUAGGGGGCGAGCGUUAUCCGGAAUUACUGGGCGUAAAGCGCACGCAGGCGGUUCGCCAAGUUUUGGAGUGACAGUUGUCGGCUCAACCGACAAAGGACUUCAAAAACUGGUGAACUUGAGGACGAGAGAGGAACAUGGAACUCCAGGUGUAGUAGUGAAAUGCGUAGAUAUCUGGAAGAACACCAAUGGCGAAGGCAAUGUUCUGGCUCGUUUCUGACGCUCAGGUGCGAAAGCCAGGGGAGCGAACGGG